UACCGGCUGCUCGAGCGUUGUCCGGAAUUACUGGGCGUAAAGGGUACGCAGGCGGUUUGAUAAGUCAGGUGUAAAAGGCAUUGGCUCAACCAAUGUAAGCAUUUGAAACUGUCAGACUUGAGUAUAGGAGAGGUAAGUGGAAUUCCUAGUGUAGCGGUGAAAUGCGUAGAUAUUAGGAGGGACACCAGUGGCGAAGGCGACUUACUGGACUAAAACUGACGCUGAGGUACGAAAGCGUGGGGAGCAAACA
rnacentral:rRNA from 1 species